GGGGCGCAAGGCUAGUGGCGAGCCAUCGGGCUGUGGCCCCGAGGAGGCCAGUUCAAUUCUGGCGCGUCCCUCCA
rnacentral:tRNA from 1 species